CUUCUCGCCGCCAUUGGCACCGACCAAUCCCUUCCGCUCCACCCACCGGGUGCAGCCCCUUUCUCAAACUCCGCCCUUGCCUGGAGCCUCCAAAUUCCUGACAACCGCAGGUGUUCAUGAACUAAGGUGGCUGAAGCCUCUCAGCUGUUGCUGACCCACAGUGAGCACUCAGUUAAAGGUGCUGCUUUCUGUUAGGAGCUGCUGGAAAGCCUCGGCCAGCUGUGAAGCCUUGCGAUUUCGAGUCUGGAUACCAUCCUUCCUCAUGGUCAGUGGUCGGUUCACCUGCCAAGAGGGAGGCCAUGGCUGUUUCCCAGCUCCACAUCUUGCUCUAUGACUCCUCCAGGGAUGACCAAUUCACCCCACUUCUAAGAAGAGAGAACUUAUGACAAGAAUCCUGAAGUUUUCAGGCUGUGACCAGAAGAACUGCUGGUGUUUGAGUGACUCCAGUGUUCUGAGCCAUAGUGGUUGCUCUGUCCCCUGACCUCCAACCAUUUCCAAAUGAGCUUUGAGGAUGACUUGUUGGGAUUUGGAACCACAUAUAUUACCUGGAAACUCCAGCCACUGUCUACUUCCAUCAUUGCUUCCCGCUCUGACUGAUUUGCUGCCUGAUUCCUGGGCAGGUCAACCUCUGAGCCUCAGUUUCUUUGCUUGGAAAAUGGGUAUAAUCAUGGAACCCACCUCAAAUGUUGUUGAGAGGCCACUCAACACAGGGCCUGCCUGCACAUCAUAAAUGAAGCCUUCCCUGACUGGUUCCCUCCCUCCUGGCAUCUUCUGGGGCUCCAGAGCUUGGUCCAAGCCCAUGGCAUUUGGACUAUUCUUGUCUCUUCCAGACUGUGGAGUCCAUCAGGGCUGGGACGAGCCUGACUCCCCUCCGUGUCAGUAGCACCUGGAGAAGCGUCAACCAAAGUCGACUAAGGAAUCAGAUGUUUGCCUUAAAACCACACUAUUUUGUUUUUAAGAGAAAACUAUAAAAGAUACUAUAACAAGCACUCACCUUUGUCAAAUGUUAAUAUUUUGCCCUAUUUACUUUAGGUCUUUUUUAAAAGAAAUAUAUUACAGAUACAGUUGAUACCCUUGCACCAAUUUAAUUUCAUUUCCCCCUCUCCUUCCACUACCUUGAAUUUGGUGUUUAUCUUUCUCAUUAAUGUUUUGAUGUUUUACAUUGCAUUACUGCACAUGUAUGUACCCAUGAACAACAAAUGAUACUUGGGAGUUUUGGCCUGUUUUUGACCUUCAUACAAAUUAAAUCAUAUAGUAUGUGCUUAUUUUGCUCAGCAUAAUAUCUGUGAGAUUCAUCCACAUUGUUGUAUAGCUCAUUUUUUUUUAUUGAGAUGUAAUUCACAUACCACAAAAUUCACCCUUUAAAGUAUACAUUUCAGUGAUAAGUAAAUUCACAAGGUGGUACAACUGUUAACCACUUUCUGAUUCCAGAACAUUUUCAUCAUCCCAUAAAGAAACCCUGUGCCCAUUAGUAGCCAUUUCCCUUUCCAUUUCCCCCUCCCCACAGCCCCUGGCAACCACUAAUCUACUUUAUAUCUCUAUGGAGUUGCCUGUUAUGGACAUUUCAUAUAAAUGGAAUCAUACAACAUGUGGGCUUUUGUGACUGGCUUCUUUUACUUCACAUAAAGUUUUCAAGGUUCGUUAAUAUUGUAGCAGAGAAGGCAAUGGCAACCCACUCCAGUACUCUUGCCUGGAAAAUCCCAUGGACGGAGGAGCCUGGUAGGCUGCAGUCCAUGGGGUCACGAAGAGUCGGACACGACUGA